GUCAUUGCUACCUGGUGAUUGGCGUUUGGCUUAUAGUCAGCAGCCUACGCUGGGCUAGAGAGAAGGGGUGGAAAGCAAGCUUGGCUUAUAGCCAGUGCUGUGUAUGCAGCCAUAUAGUGAAUGCCUUCAUUUGCACCCUGAACUCUGAAUAGUCACUUUUAAAACAUCCAUCUGUCAUCCAUCUAGUGAGGUCAGGAGAGUGGCUGCUUAACUUCUGGGGGUUGCAGAAAAGGAAGAAGAAUCAGCAGAGAGCAUUUGUGGCCAGCAAAGCUUAAAAUAUUUCCUAACCGAUCCUUUGCAAAAAAAGUUCACCCACUCCUGUAGUCAGCAGCUCCCCUACUGUGCGCAGUCAGUGUGCCAUCUCAGACUAGCAAAGUUGUCCAGAGAGGAAAGACAGGCCAAAAUAGUUCAGUAUGCUGUCUUACUGGGAGGACAACAGCUUAAGCCACAAAGCCCUGAGUUUGACCCUAGAACUCUGUGGCUACUGGUGACUCAUCUUGAAAAUUAUCAGAUUGAAUCUUCUCUACCGGUUUGAUAACAACUGAUGAGUGGAAAAAGAACGCCAAUCAAAUGUGCAUGCUUAAUAAGCAGCCUCCUUAUUCCCCUCUGCAGAUUUGUGCUUGGAUCAUCUACACUUCCCUGAAUGUUGAAGAAGAUAUGCUAUCCAUGCAAUCCUUGUCGACUGCUUGAUUAAAAAGUGGAUAAACUGUCUUCAGGCCCUUGGAGUAUGGUGUCUGUGUGAAGAAGGGAAUGAGGCAGAAGUAGCAGUCAGUGGUGGCUGAAGUAGGAGAAAGUGCUUGCUAAUGAAAUCUUGAUUUUUCUGUGGCUUUUCUGUGCAAUUGGGUGGCUAAGUAGGAAAGCCAUUGGAGCUUCACUGUAUCAAUUCUGCCUUUCUUGUUUUUUGGAACUCCAAUUCACCAAGGCUCCCUGCCACCCUAUCCAUCUAUAACUUUUCAUCACUUUUUCCUCAAAGUAAGAAGUGUGUCCCAGAAAAUGUGCCUUUGUGACUCAGCAACAUUUCAAAUCCAUCUGAGCCUUCCCAGCGUUCCAAAAGAAAUACUGAUUUGAAUUCAGCUGCUUAAAAAACCAGUCUCUAAGCAGACAGCUUGAAACUUCCUUACAGCAAUAGUUUAGGCUUUGGAGGGGAAAUUGGUUUGUUUUUAAUUGUUUUAAUUUUUCAUUCAAUUCAUUUGCCGCCUGAUUAUAUAUGAUCUUUUGAGCCCAAUACUCUGCUAAAUUAACCUUGACUUUCUUUCUCUCUUUCUCUCUCUCUCCUUCUCUCUUUCUUCCUUUCUUUCUUUCUUUUUGACAGAGCCUUGCUCUGUCGCCCAGGCUGGAAUGCAGUGGCACAAUCUCAGCUCACUGUAAACUCCGCCUCCAAAGUUCAAGCAAUUCUCCUGCCUCAGCCUCCUGUGUAGCUGGGAUUACACACGCCAGCCACCAUGCCUGGCUAAUUUUUGUAUUUUUAGUAAAGAUGGAGUUUCACCCUCUUGGCCAAGCUGGUCUCGAACUCCUGACCUCAACCUUGGCCUCUCAAAGUGCUGGGAUUACAAGCAUGAGCCACCAUGCCUGGCCUUACCUUGAUUUUUUUUUUUUGAGACAGAGUCUCACUCUGUUGCUCAGGCUGGAGUGUAGUGGCUCGAUCUUGGCUCACUGCAACCUCCAUCUCCCGGGUUCAAGAGAUUCUCCUGCCUCAGCCUCCCAAGUAGCUGGGACUACAGGUGUGGGCCACCACGCCUAGCUAAUUUUUUAUAUGUUUACUAGAGACAGGGUUUCACCAUGUUGGGCAGGCUGGUCUUGAACUCCUGACCUCAGGUGAUUCACCUGCCUCGGCCUCCCAAAAUGCUGGGAUUACAGGUGUGAGCCACCACACCCGGCCCCUACCUUUGAUUUUUAAGUCAAGAGGGAACAAGUCGAAAUUUCUAUUCAGGUAAACUGUAUACCUUUGGACACUGAAUCACUUUUAGAACCCCAGUAAAAAUCAUGUAUGAAUGACCCACAAUUUCACUCCAACAGGAAGGUGUGUAUAUGUGCACAAAAACAUUAGAUUGUUCACACCGGUGCUAUUCAUAAUAGUCAAAAACUGGAAACAACUCAAACAUCCAUCAACUGUAGAAUGGAUAAAUAAAUCAUGAUAUAUUCAUACCAUGGAACAUAACAGUGACAAUAAAUGAACCACUGCUACACACAACAGAUAUGAAUUUCACAAACAGAAUGCUGAGCAACAGAAGCCAAACACAGAAGGAUACACAUUUAUAAAUCCAUUUGUAUGAAGUUCAUAAACAGACAAAAUUAGUCAGUGGAGAUUAUUCUCAUAGAAGUCUGAAGGGUAGUUGUCUUUAGGGAGGGGGAUAUAGUGACUGAGGUGGGUAUAAGGGGUUUCUGGGGUUUGGUGAUGGUACACCAGCAUAUUCACUCUGAAAACUCAUUGAGCUGUGCAAUAAUGAUUUUUCAAACUUUUAUAUGUGUAUGAUAAUGCUUCAAUAAAGCUUUGCUUAAAAACACGCAUAGUCAUUGCUAUGGUGUGAAUGUUUGUGUGCCCCCGUUCACCAAAUUCAUAGGUUGAAAUCCUAACCCCCAAGGUGAUGAUAUUAGGAGU
rnacentral:lncRNA from 10 species